GCCCGCGUGGCGUAAUGGUAACGCGUUCGACUGUAUGUUACAAUACCUUAACUGUCGAAAUUCAAAUUGCUAAUAAAUAUCCCAUAGUCUAAUCGAAAGAUUUGCGGGUUCGACCCCCGCCGUGGGUU